rnacentral:rRNA from 1 species
AAACGACUCUCGGCAACGGAUAUCUCGGCUCUCGCAUCGAUGAAGAACGUAGCGAAAUGCGAUACUUGGUGUGAAUUGCAGAAUCCCGUGAACCAUCGAGUCUUUGAACGCAAGUUGCGCCCGAGGCCUUCUGGCCGAGGGCACGUCUGCCUGGGCGUCACGCAU